UGAUGGCAGACGAUCGCUGGAGAGUCGUGAGGCUUGCCAGAGGAAAGUCCGAACACCAUACGGCAGCAUGCCGCGUAGAAAACGCGGGCGUUGCAUUCGUAAGAUUGCGGCGACGGAAAGUGUCACAGAAAUGAUACCGCCGGUUCUUUGAGAAAAGCGCAGGCAAGGGUGAAAAGGCGAGGUAAAAGCUCACCGCGCGCGAAGUAAUUCGCGCGGCAGGAAAAACCCCAUGCGGUGCAAGACAAAACAGGAGGAGGACAGCCGGUCCGUCUAUCUCCGGGUAUCGUCGCACCAGAUAAACCUGUAGCGGCGGUCUAUGACCGCCGGGUGUUUAUCGGCAUCUGGAGAAAUCUUGAUGAGAUAAAUGAUCGUCCCGGUUGAGAAAUCAAUCGGACAGAAUUCGGCUUACCGCCAUCAAAUU
rnacentral:RNase_P_RNA from 1 species